AGUGAACGCUGGCGGUAGACCUAACACAUGCAAGUCGAACGGCAGCACAGUAAGAGCUUGCUCUUACGGGUGGCGAGUGGCGGACGGGUGAGGAAUACAUCGGAAUCUACUUUUUCGUGGGGGAUAACGUAGGGAAACUUACGCUAAUACCGCAUACGACCUACGGGUGAAAGCAGUGGAUCUUCGGACCUUGCGCGAUUGAAUGAGCCGAUGUCGGAUUAGCUAGUUGGCGGGGUAAAGGCCCACCAAGGCGACGAUCCGUAGCUGGUCUGAGAGGAUGAUCAGCCACACUGGAAGUGAGACGCGGUCCAGGCUCCUACGGGAGGCAGCAGUGGGGAAUAUUGGACAAUGGGCGCAAGCCUGAUCCAGCCAUACCACGUGGGUGAAGAAGGCCUUCGGGUUGUAAAGCCCUUUUGUUGGGAAAGAAAAGCAGCAGGUUAAUACCCCGCUGGUCUGGCGGUACCCAAAGAAUAAGCACCGGCUAACUUCGUG
rnacentral:rRNA from 1 species